rnacentral:rRNA from 1 species
CAGUAGCCGCGGUAAUACGAAGGGGGCUAGCGUUGCUCGGAAUUACUGGGCGUAAAGGGAGCGUAGGCGGAUGAAUUAGUCAGGGGUGAAAUCCCGGGGCUCAACCUCGGAACUGCCUUUGAUACUGUUCAUCUUGAGUAUGGGAGAGGUGUGUGGAACUCCGAGUGUAGAGGUGAAAUUCGUAGAUAUUCGGAAGAACACCAGUGGCGAAGGCGACACACUGGCCCAUUACUGACGCUGAGGCUCGAAAGCGUGGGGAGCAAACAGGAUUAGAUACCCGGGUAGUCCCUGUCUCUUAUAC